ensembl:lncRNA
GUUCUCAGUCUCUACCGCUUAAGCUUCACCUCUGCUUUUCUCGUGGGCUCUUCUUCUGUUUCCUACCGCUAGAGCUCCACAAGCACAGCGGAAUACAGUUUCUCAACACUACAUUUGUGCACUAGAGAGAGAAAAAGGUGGCACCGACUGUUAAGCAGUGCACCAAAUGCUUUCCUGAUCUGCCAUCGAGACAUCCACAAAGCUUUUGGGCAACAGAGCUCUAGCAAGCAGUCUUCAGAGCCCUCAACAUGCCCACAACAGAAUCUCAUUGCCUUCACUGUAACCGGUCACGUUUCCAAAGAAAAAUAAGCUUUUGACCCAGUUGAUCCAUUUACAUGAAUUUAAUGGAAUCUAUAAUCCCCCAAAACUGGCUCCUUUCCCAGAUUAUGUAUAAUUUGGGCUAAUCAUAGAAGAAAGCGAUCAGAGGUUAGCAGAAACACCCCUCAGAGACUCCAGAAAAAUCAUCCUGCUGCAAUCUUUCACUCUGAUCUCUUCCCCUGUUCUUCCCAAACAAGUACCUCAAUGCAGUCUUUGUUAUGUGGAGUCCUGAGGUACAGUUUCCCACUGCUGGCGUUCAACUCAUCUUUCCAACUCCAGCUUCCAAACAACACCAACAUCUUUAUUGUUAGAGUUAGGGUGGUAUGGUUAGGUUGUAGUUGGACUCAAUGAUGCUUAAGGUCUUUUCCAACCUGAGCAAUUCUGUGAUUCUAUGAUUCUACCUAUCUGCUCAAAGCUGUAUUUACUGUAACCAACAUUAACUGUAAUCCUUUUCUCAACUGUGUCUUCAGGCUAACUGCCUUAAUACAUAUACAUAACAACAUAUUUCAUAUAUGGCUAUUUAUUUGGGAAAAAACAAAACAAAACAAAACAAAAAAAACCACCAGUAGUUUCUGAUCACAAGAGUUCCAAAAACUUGCAAUUGGAGGCAUGUAAGAUUGAGACAUGGUCAGAAAGAGCAAGUAUAGAAAUCCUGUUCUGUAUGGGAGUCUCUGAAUGAGAUCCUCACCCCUCUACUUGCUUUAUUCUGUUGUGACUACACUGGCUAUGUUUGGCAAUUAGAUUUUGUCCCAAAAAUUGUUCUGUCCAACAAACACACUUGUUUGAACUAUCAGCUUCAACGUUUUUCAGUAGAUUUUGCAAGUCCAGUGUGCGUAAGAGAGUAAAACUUAAAUACAGAGACUGACCUUUUCAUUCUGCAAGCAGAGGUUUCAACAAAGUUGCGUCUGGUUAGAGAUUUCAGAAGAUUUCCUAAGUUUUGAAAGCCUUGGAGGUAUUUGUAAAACAGAGCCUGUUUUUUUACAGCUUGUUUCAAUGUUGACAUGCACUGAAAGGCAGAAGAGGUUCUGGCACUCCAACUAAACCAGCACACUGUGCUUACUCAGAAGCAUAGCUGGAGACAACUCAGGCUCUGGCUUGCACAGCUUAACUGUUAAUACCUUCGGCCAAGCUCCUUCAUUUGACUUCUCUUCUCUUGUCAAAUGUAAACUGAGACUUUCUAGCUAAUGUUCUUAUUGCUGUGUUACUAUUUAUGCCUGCAUUAUUUGUUUUCAAGACAACUUGUAAUAGCAGUGUAAAUCUCACACCCACAAUCUACGAUUGUACCAGACAACAGCCUCCAGC